UUCAAGGCAGCUACUUUUUAUCUUAGAUUUUAACAGAAACUCAUGAAGAAAAGUCUUAAGACCUAAACUCCCAAGUCCCUUACUGUAUCAUUUUGAGUAUUAGGAAAUCAGUCAGAGGUCUUUUCAGCAUCUCUGAAAUCACAAUGCAAAAAUAGCCCCAGCUUCAUAAGGCCGAUUCUUGGUAUCUCUGUUCUGCAAAGUAGGGUAAGCAAGAUGCCACAAAAGGCAGGUUGAAUGCAGCAUUAUCCUCACUCCACCAACAGAACUAUCAUACUUUAAGUAACCCAGCAGGUCUUUAAAAUAAAGAAAUUAUAAAACAUAAGGAAAAACUUUCUUGAGAGGAAAAAAUUUACAAAUCAGAGGAAAAUCUUCUAGAACUUUUACAUCUUAUAACAAAUAAAUCAUAUGCUUUAUUGUUUUCCUCUGAGUACAUCAUCAGUACUUCCAUAAUACUUCUAAUUUUUGGCUUGAAAACACCAGUUGCUUAAAAAAACACAGGGACACAAAACAAAAUCCCAGAAAUGUAUAAUUAUUUUUUUUAAGCUGACAAAGGAGUAACACACCACUGACUUCUCAGGGAAAAGCUUUCAAGCAAAGCAGUCAUUUCUGGUGGGGAUUAUAGAAGAGGGAGUUAUCAUGGUGAGAUGGUGGAACUAAUCCAGAACAAGCCAGAUUUUUAGUAUUGACAAAGGGAUUUAAUCAGUUGCCCAGGAAUACUCACUCACUUGGAAAUCAAACUUCCAUCAUUAUUCUUGGAAGAAUUUCUGGAACUUCCCCUUUGGAAACAAAUUUUUAUCUUCAAAAAUACCAGACAAUAGAAGAAAAGAAAUGAAAAAGGAGGCAGAGGAAGAUGAAUCUUGCUUAGGCAGGGACUGAAAGGGAAUUCGUGGCCAUAGGCCACAUUUUUCAGCGCCCACUGUGUGACGGCUUUCCCCAGGACCACACGUGUGCCACUGAACAAGAAGAGUCCACAGGGACCUUCACCUUAUUCCUCCCCAACAUCAAAACCAAAAUGGAACAACCUACCAUGAGAAUAUGAGUAUAUAUCACAACUUCCAUUACAUUUAAAGCAUGCAGAGUAUCUAAUUGCAAAUUCAAACAGUGGAAAAACAAAUCUACUUGCCUCCUGGCCACAGCCUUACUCUUUUAAGAGAAUGUGGUCUAUGCUUUCUAAUCCCAUCACCAGGGAUAAAUAACCACAGGUUUGUGUGACAUAGAACCACCUCCAUGCAGAGGUUUGUCAAGGAGGACAGAAACUCAGAGCACCCUGCACUUGGGGAUCGGCACUAGGAGCUGCUCUCUGGAUGGGGAGAUGGGAGCUAGCAGCUCACAAUGGGGUCACAAGACAGGAGUGUUAUUGGGAGAAUCCUGUUUUGUUGACAAAUACUGAGAUCAUCCAACUCACCAGGCAAAGUUGACUUGUGUAAGUGAUCUUCAGAUAUGAAAAGUGUGGAACCCAGCUGCUCCUCCUCAGAUAGGCGACAUGACAAUUGUAGGCCUGGAGGGAGAUGAGUUGACAACAUCCCUUCCCUAUAACCACUUGUUGGAUCUGAUCUCACAUACACAGACUCACUCCAAAGACUGACCUGGGUGUCUGCUUCUCAGCUUCAUUAACAGUGGGUGCUCACAAGUCUAGUGGAGAGAAUGUCUGAGAAGAGGAGGACCUUGACUGCUCCUGAACCGGAGACCUCAGAACCAUGGUGCUCUCCUGUCCAGGCUGAACACUAAUGCUCUUGAGAGUCACAUUGAAGAAAGCCAACAUUUUUAAAUCUAAUGGAUACAUUCAUUUUGUGGUAUGUGAUGUUUAGAAAGAGGGAGCUAAAGUUAGUGGUCAUGAGCUAAAUACCCUGUGAGCAUCUUCACUCUCCUUCUGUAUCACAGACUAAAACCCACUGACUUGAUCAUCUGUCCCUUGCCCCUCGUCCACAUAGUGAACUUCUUCAUUGCACUGUUAUUGCAGUCUCCAAAUCUGUUUGCAUCAUUGAACUUCAGAAUGACUUCAAGUGUAAGGCACUUUUCCACCUGAGCAGGGUGUUGUGGGGCCUCUCUAUCUGCACCACCUGCCCCCUGAGUGUGUUCCAGGCCACCACCAUCAGCCCCAGCACCUCCUGAUUGGCAAGGUUUAAACAUAAAUCUUCAAAUUACAUUAUCCAUGUUUUCUUCUUCUUAUGGUUCCUCAACUUGUCUUUCAGUAGUAACAGGAUCUUCUACACUGUAGCUGCUUCCAGUGUGAGCCAGACAAAUGUACUGAAUAUAGGUAAGUACUGCUCAGUUUUCUCCAUGAGCUUCAUCCUCAGGGCCACGUUUCUUAUUCUGACAACACUUAGGGAUGCUUUCCUGGUAGGAAUACUGCUGUUCUUAAUUGCAUACAUGGUGACUCUCUUAUUCAGGCCUCAGAGGUGAUCCCACCACCUUCACAGCAAUGGUCCUUCCCCAGGAGCUUCCCCUGAGAAACGGGCCAUCCAGACCAUACUGCUGCUGAAUAAUGUCUCAUUGGAAAUCUCAACAUUCUUCAUUUAGAACACCACCGCCAAUAUCUACCAUAUGCCGGGAUUAUUGUGCAGGGUAAUUUUUAUUAUUACUUGAAUGUAUAUUUAUAUACUGCAGGAACUAUACAUGUUUAUGGCUAGAAUUACUGUUUUUCCUUAAUAUUAAGAUAGUAUUGGUAGAUUUAAUUAUCUGAAUUUAGUCAUUUGGCUCCAGUCAAAAUGGUUUCUCCUUAGCAGUACUCUGACUUUGUAAAAGUAAUCACAUUUGGAUUCUGUUUCCUCCAGUAGUUUUUAAAAUGAUUUUUUUGAUUAUUCAUAUAACUUUUUUUUAAUGAUCUUUUAAAAACUAGUAUGUGGUUAUAUAUUACUUGUUACACUUUUUGUUUUCUUUAUUUUUUGGUUGGUUACACCUUAAAUGAUUAUUUCUAUUGCCUUUUAAUGUUACUUAGAAAAUAUCACAUGUAAGACUUUUGCUUUUAUAAAGUUAGUAAUACAUUUUCAAGCCUAAACUCUUGAAAUUUUAAUAAUUUCUAUGAUAUUUGAAAAUUAUUUUUAUCUUCUUUUGAGUGCUAAAAGAUAAUAUUUGUCUACCUGAUUAACUAGCACAACUUUUAAAAAGUUAUUUAGCACUCUUUAUAUUCAUUCAUUUGUUUU